rnacentral:misc_RNA from 1 species
GAUGAAGAACGUAGCAAAAUGCGAUACUUGGUGUGAAUUGCAGAAUCCCGUGAACCAUCGAGUUUUUGAACGCAAGUUGCGCCCGAAGCCUUUUGGCCGAGGGCACGUCUGCCUGGGCGUCACGCAUCGCGUCGCCCCCCACAAUUCUCCGUAAAGGGAACGUGUGUUUUGGGGGCGGAUAUUGGUCUCCCGUGCUCAUGGCGUGGUUGGCCGAAAUAGGAGUCCUUUCGAUGGACGCACGAACUAGUGGUGGUCGUAAAAACCCUCGUCUUUUGUUUCGUGCUGUUGCUCGCAAGGUAAACUCUUUAAAAACCCCAAUGUGUCGACUCUUGACGACGCUUCGACCGCGACCCCAGGUCAGGCGGGACUACCCGCUGAGUUUAAGCAUAUCAAUAAGCGGAGGA